CUACUCGCUUUGGCAGCACAUAUACAAAAUUGGAAUGACACAGAGAAGAUGAGCUUGGCCCCUGUGCAGGGAUGACGUGCAAAUUCAUGAGGUGUUCCAUAUUUUU
ensembl:snRNA U6 U6 spliceosomal RNA